GCAACGCUAGCGGCAGGCCUAACACAUGCAAGUCGAACGGUAACAUGGAUUGCUUGCAAUCUGAUGACGAGUGGCGCACGGGUGCGUAACGCGUAUGCAAUCUACCUUUUACAGGAGAAUAGCCCAGAGAAAUUUGGAAUAAUGCUCCAUAAUAUCAUUUAUCAGCAUUGGUUUAUGAUUAAAGCUCCGGCGGUAAAAGAUGAGCAUGCGUUCUAUUAGCUAGUAGGUGAGGUAACGGCUCACCUAGGCUACGAUAGAUAGGGGCCCUGAGAGGGGGAUCCCCCACACUGGUACUGAGACACGGACCAGACUCCUACGGGAGGCAGCAGUGAGGAAUAUUGGACAAUGGAGGAAACUCUGAUCCAGCCAUGCCGCGUGCAGGAUGACUGCCCUAUGGGUUGUAAACUGCUUUUAUAUAGGAAGAAACACUCCCACGUGUGGGGGCUUGACGGUACUAUAUGAAUAAGGAUCGGCUAGCUCCGUGCCAGCAGCCGCGGUAAUACGGAGGAUCCAAGCGUUAUCCGGAAUCAUUGGGUUUAAAGGGUCCGCAGGCGGCCUGUUAAGUCAGAGGUGAAAUCCUACAGCUCAACUGUAGAACUGCCUUUGAUACUGAUAGGCUUGAGUUAUUGUGAAGUGGUUAGAAUGUGUGGUGUAGCGGUGAAAUGCUUAGAUAUCACACAGAAUACCCAUUGCGAAGGCAGACCACUAACAAUAUACUGACGCUCAUGGACGAAAGCGUGGGGAGCGGACGGGAUUAGAUACCCCGGUAGUCCACGCCGUAACGAUGGAUACUAACUGUUCGACCUUCGGGUUGAGUG
rnacentral:rRNA from 1 species